CGGGGGGGGCAAGCGUUGUUCGGAAUUACUGGGCGUAAAGGGCUCGUAGGCGGCCAACUAAGUCCGACGUGAAAUCCCCAGGCUCAACCUGGGAACUGCGACGGAUACUGGAUGGCUUGAAUUCGGGAGAGGGAUGCAGAAUUCCAGGUGUAGCGGUGAAAUGCGUAGAUAUCUGGAGGAAUACCGGUGGCGAAGGCGGCAUCCUGGACCGACGUUGACGCUGAGGAGCGAAAGCUAGGGGAGCAAACGGGAUUAGAUACCCCGGUAGUCCUAGCCCUAAACGAUGAAUGCUUGGUGUGACGGGUAUCGAUCCCUGUCGUGCCGAAGCUAACGCAUUAAGCAUUCCGCCUGGGGAGUACGGUCGCAAGGCUG
rnacentral:rRNA from 1 species